AAGGAGCACCACGAUAAACACUCUCAAUUGGUGGGGGUGUAGCCGUGAGGAGCCUGGUCGCUGUAGUGGCGCCGGCUUGGUGCACAACAAACGUUGAGCCGCAAGGGAUUUUGCGGUGAUGGGACCGCCAGACACACUAUUGGGCUUUGAGACAACAGGCCCGUGCCCCUUUUGGGGGGGUGGCAUCCGGUUGCGGGUGUCGGCGUGUUGUUGCCUCACUUUGGUGGUGGGGUGUGGUGUUUGAUUUGUGGAUAGUGGUUGCGAGCAUCUAGCACGCAAGGGUGUGGCGCCGGCCUUCGGGUGGGUGUCGCUUUUUUGUGUGUUGAUGUGCAAUUUCUUUUGAAACUCAUUUUUGGUUUUUGUG
rnacentral:misc_RNA from 1 species